rnacentral:misc_RNA from 1 species
AACGCACCUUGCGCUCCUUGGUAUUCCUCGGAGCAUGCCUGUUUGAGUAUCAUGAAAUUCUCAAAAUAAAAUCUUUUGUUCAUUCAAUUGGUUUCAUUUUGGACUUGGGGGUCUGCAGAUUAAUUUCUGCUCCUCUUAAAUAUAUUAGCUGGAUCUUUGAGAGGUCGGUUCCACUCGGCGUGAUAAGUAUCACUCGCUGAGGACACUGUAAAAAGGUGGCCGGGCUCACUGCAGAUCCGCUUCUAAUAGUCUAUUAAAUUAGACAAUCUAUUUAUGAUCUGAUCUCAAAUCAGGUAGGACUACCCGCUGAACUUAA